rnacentral:rRNA from 1 species
AUGGACGAGCCCGGAAGGGUGGGGCUCGCCGCCGGGCUGCUCGACGUGAACCCAGGCCGCGGCCAGGAGAGGUUCGAGAGGGAGUGGGAGCAGAUGGAGGACGAGAUCUACCGCCAGGUGCUCGCCAUCGGCUCCUUCGCGAGGCUGGAUAAUGAUGAGGAUGGACGUAGGGAAUUCGGCCGUCAAACCGCACUGCACACCUAUCUUGGCGACGUUGAUGAUAUACCGGGCAGAAAAGCUACUCUCUUAGAAGCUGGUUCGAUCCUCAGCCUGCCAAUGCUCUUUCUUCACGGUGUCGUCCUGUUUCCUGGAGCUACCUUGCCUCUGAAACUAAUUGAGGCUAGGUUUGUGGCAGCUGUCGAGAAGGCUUUAAGGCGUGAUGAUGCCCCGGGCACAAUAGGCGUGGUUCUCAUGCACGGACGGCCAAAUCAUCGAAACUAUGCUAAUGCUUCAGUUGGAACCACAGCAGAGAUACGGCAACUUGGACGGUCGGAUGAUGGUUCAAUAAAUGUUAAAGCACGUGGUCAGCAACGAUUUCGUCUGAUCCGUUACUGGUCGGAUGUUGAUGGGGUGGUGUGGGGUGAGGUUCAAAUCAUUGAGGAAGAUCCUCCACUAAGAACUCCAAGAGGUGCAUUUGCACAGCUAGCUGCAUCUAGGAGCUGCCGGCUGCAUACUUCUUCACCAGUUAUGAGCUUGGAUGUGCCACCAAUGAAACAACAGGGCCUUAUGGAUUCAGGCCUAGAUUGUGAUACUCCUGCAAGUGAUUCAAGUUCACAGUCUAGCAAUUCAACGAAGCCUUCUGGUCAGUCAGGCGAGAAUACCAACAUGGAUGAGGAGGAUUAUAUUUGCUCGACACCCUCGAGCUCAAGAACAGAUACAAAGCACCAGCACCAGUACAAUGCUGCUAAUUACUCGAAGAAGCCUCUUCAGGCAUCAUUGGCCUUUUGGCCUCAAUGGGCUUAUGAAAUGUAUGACCCAUAUUCACUUGCCUGUAGAGCUGCUGAUUUGUGGAGACUGAUAAUCAAAACGCCAAGCAUUGAUGAGCUUGUAAAAAAGCCAGAUCUUUUGUCAUUUUACAUCGGAAACCAGCUUCCAGUAUCGGAACCUGUGAGACAAAAAUUGCUGGAGAUUAAUGGGGUUUCGUAUCGCCUACGAAGGGAGAUCCAGCUUCUAAAGGCCUGUGAUCUCAUAAAAUGUGGAUACUGCAAGUCUGAAAUAGCAAAGCACAGUGAUGUGGUGGUGAUGUCUAGCGAUGGGCCUCUCGGUACUUACGUCAACAAUCAUGGGUACGUGCAUGCAACGAUUACUGUGAACAAUGCAACGGGGCUUGCUCUCGAGGGGGAACCCACAGAAGAACACAGCUGGUUUCCAGGAUACGCUUGGACUAUCGCGUCGUGCGUGCCCUGCGGUUCCAACAUAGGCUGGCGGUUCAGUACCACCAAGAGGCAUCUGCACCCGAAAUCCUUCUGGGGGAUCCGCAGCUCCCAGAUCGCGGAUGUUGUAGAUGUAGAACAACAGCAGGAGGAAGAAUGA